rnacentral:lncRNA from 1 species
CGGUGCAACCUGUCUGGGACACGUUAUUCAAGUCGAAUAAACGCCACGUUGGCCAGACCCUCUUACCCGGAUGGAGCGUCUCCGCCCAACCUCGCUGCGUCGUCCCCCUAGACGCCAGGCCCUUCUGACAGCCGGCUUCGGGUGCGACGCUGCACAAUGGUGACGAGGACUUGGAAGAACUUGCCGUGCCUCAGAUGCAGCUCAUGACAGCGCGCAUUUCCAACGAUGCAUCCUACGUGCGUGACAUUGGGGCGACGCCAACAAGCAGUCACGGUACCUAGCAGAGAGCAGGCCGGGUGUCUUCAGCAAGCCUAUAGAGGCUCAUGUCAGUGCGCUUUUCUGACGAUGCAUCCUACGUGCGUGACAUUUUGGCAGCGCCAAGAAGCAGGCCCAGUACCAAGCCAGGGGCAUGCCUGGUGUCUUUAUCAAACCUGUAAAGGUAAGUGUGUUAUAAGCGGUGACGAGGCAAUCGUGUGGUUUAUGCAAAGUUUUAAUUCUACAGUAGUGUCGAGAUUCGUGAAUGUCGAGUUUCUCUGCAGUGACGUAAUAGUACUGACCCCUGGUAAAUAAUGCCGGGAUUAA